UACGAAGGGUGCAAGCGUUACUCGGAAUUACUGGGCGUAAAGCGUGCGUAGGCGGUUUGUUAAGUCCGUUGUGAAAGCCCUGGGCUCAACCUGGGAAUUGCAGUGGAUACUGGCGAGCUAGAGUGCGGUAGAGGAUGGUGGAAUUCCCGGUGUAGCGGUGAAAUGCGUAGAGAUCGGGAGGAACACCCGUGGCGAAGGCGGCCAUCUGGACCAGCACGUGACGCUGACGGCACGAAAGCGUGGGGAGCAAACAGG
rnacentral:rRNA from 1 species